CCUACGGGAGGCAGCAGUGGGGAAUAUUGGGCAAUGGAGGCAACUCUGACCCAGCAACGCCGCGUGAAUGAUGAAGGUCUUCGGAUUGUAAAGUUCUUUUCUAAGGGAAGAAGAAAGUGACGGUACCUUAGGAAUAAGCCUCGGCUAACUACGUGCCAGCAGCCGCGGCAAUACGUAGGAGGCAAGCGUUAUCCGGAAUGACUGGGCGUAAAGGGUGCGUAGGUGGUUCAGCAAGUUAGUAGCGUAACUCCGGGGCUCAACCUCGGCACUACUACUAAAACUGUUGGACUUGAGUGCAGGGGAGGCAACUGGAAUUCCUAGUGUAGCGGUGGAAUGCGUAGAUAUUAGGAGGAACACCAGUGGCGAAGGCGAGUUGCUGGACUGUAACUGACACUGAGGCACGAAAGCGUGGGGAGCAAACAGGAUUAGAUACCCCAGUAGUC
rnacentral:rRNA from 1 species